UCCACGUCUGUGCUCCUGCUUGUUUGGUCUAAGGCGCAAAAUGGGGCUGUGUGGAACUUUGGCUUUCAUCUGUAUGUUGCUGUCAGCGGUGGAUGGGUUAAAGUGUUACAACUGCUGGGAGAGCAACCCUGGCACCUGUCAUGAAGUAUGGACCUGUCCUUAUCAUUAUGACCGCUGCGCCACCACAAUAGUUGCCCAAAAUUUGAUCAGUAAACACUGUAUGAGGAGUGAUAUGUGCAGUAAUGUUUAUACCGUUGGCAUCAGAUGUUGUUCUGAAGACCUGUGUAAUGGAGCGAAACACACUGGAGUCUUUGUCCCUCUUCUUCUGGUGCCCAUAGCCAUUAAUACACUUUUUAAUUGAGGAUUAACUGUCUAAGUCUGUUGUAUCAUGGGAAGAUCGCCUACGUGCUUGAUGGACCGCUGAAAAACAAAAAUACAAUUUUUGCACUGUAAACUAUUUUAGACUCAUCUACAAAUGAAUAAGACUGUAUAUUUUCCUAAUAAUGUGUAUGUGACAGAAUA